rnacentral:rRNA from 1 species
AUUGAACGCUGGCGGCAGGCCUAACACAUGCAAGUCGAGCGGAUGAAGGGAGCUUGCUCCUGGAUUCAGCGGCGGGCGGGUGAGUAAUGCCUAGGAAUCUGCCUGGUAGUGGGGGAUAACGUCCGGAAACGGGCGCUAAUACCGCAUACGUCCUGAGGGAGAAAGUGGGGGAUCUUCGGACCUCACGCUAUCAGAUGAGCCUAGGUCGGAUUAGCUAGUUGGUGGGGUAAAGGCCUACCAAGGCGACGAUCCGUAACUGGUCUGAGAGGAUGAUCAGUCACACUGGAACUGAGACACGGUCCAGACUCCUACGGGAGACAGCAGUGGGGAAUAUUGGACAAUGGGCGAAAGCCUGAUCCAGCCAUGCCGCGUGUGUGAAGAAGGUCUUCGGAUUGUAAAGCACUUUAAGUUGGGAGGAAGGGCAGUAAGUUAAUACCUUGCUGUUUUGACGUUACCAACAGAAUAAGCACCGGCUAACUUCGUG